GUUAAAUUUCAUAAAAUUCAAUAUUUAAUCAUUUCAGUAAACAAUACCUUUAGCAAUGAAUUUACGGAUACAUCACUAAAUUCAUCAUUAAUAAUAUGCCUUAACAACGAAUCUAUUACUAUUAAGAAUAGUAAGUCAUACUAUUACUAAGUCAUACUAUUAACAAUAGGUUUAGCAGCAAAUCCAUAAUCCCUCACUAAUACAAAAUUCAGAGAAAAUUUUAAAAGAUAAAAUAUAAAUUUUUAAAGUAAUAAAUUUAUUUUCGAGCAAAUUUUUUUAAGUAAAUUAAGA
rnacentral:misc_RNA from 1 species